GAUGAACGCUGGCGGCGCGCCUAACACAUGCAAGUCGAACGGUUAAAGCAUCUUCGGAUGUGUAUAAAGUGGCGAACGGCUGAGUAACACGUGGGCAACCUGCCCUUUGCACUGGGAUAGCCUCGGGAAACCGAGGUUAAUACCGGAUACUCCAUAUUUGUCGCAUGGCGAAUAUGGGAAAGCUCCGGCGGCAAAGGAUGGGCCCGCGGCCUGUUAGCUAGUUGGUGGGGUAGUGGCCUACCAAGGCAAUGAUGGGUAGCCGGGUUGAGAGACCGACCGGCCAGAUUGGGACUGAGACACGGCCCAGACUCCUACGGGAGGCAGCAGUGGGGAAUCUUGCACAAUGGGCGAAAGCCUGAUGCAGCGACGCCGCGUGCGGGAUGAAGGCCUUCGGGUUGUAAACCGCUUUCAGCAGGGACGAGGCCCGCAAGGUGACGGUACCUGCAGAAGAAGCCCCGGCUAACUACGUGCCAGCAGCCGCGGUAAUACGUAGGGGGCAAGCGUUAUCCGGAUUCAUUGGGCGUAAAGCGCGCGUAGGCGGUCUGUUAGGUCAGGAGUUAAAUCUGGGGGCUCAACCCCUAUCCGCUCCUGAUACCGGCAGGCUUGAGUCUGGUAGGGGAAGAUGGAAUUCCAAGUGUAGCGGUGAAAUGCGCAGAUAUUUGGAAGAACACCGGUGGCGAAGGCGGUCUUCUGGGCCAUGACUGACGCUGAGGCGCGAAAGCUAGGGGAGCGAACAGGAUUAGAUACCCUGGUAGUCCUAGCUGUAAACGAUGGACACUAGGUGUGGGGAGAUUAUACUUUCCGUGCCGCAGCUAACGCAUUAAGUGUCCCGCCUGGGGAGUACGGUCGCAAGACU
rnacentral:rRNA from 2 species